CUUGUGUCUAAUAAAGCUGAAUCAUUCGAUGGGAGGAACCCCACAGAAUCUCCUCAGUUUCUUCAUGUUAAUGUGCCCUGUUGUUCUGUAGAUCCUGGGUGAGCAGAUGUCCAGCAUCUCUUUCGUGCAGAGAAGAAUUAUAUGCUUGAAUUGUUGCUGAAUUCAUUCUCCAUGUGAAGAAGAAGGUUCCUAAACAGAUUGUGAAUACGUCUGUAUCCCUCCAUAUGGAAGGUACCAUCUCAGUCCUUUUCUCCCUGCUAC
rnacentral:lncRNA from 1 species